CGGGGCGUAGCGCAGCCCGGUUAGCGCGCCUGCUUCGGGAGCAGGAGGUCGAGAGUUCAAAUCUCUCCGCCCCGACCA
rnacentral:tRNA from 1 species